rnacentral:rRNA from 1 species
GUCCACGCCGUAAACGUUGGGCACUAGGUGUGGGGCUCUAUCGACGGGUUCCGUGCCGAAGCUAACGCAUUAAGUGCCCCGCCUGGGGGAGUACGGCCGCAAGGCUAAAACUCAAAGGAAUUGACGGGGGCCCGCACAAGCGGCGGAGCAUGUGGCUUAAUUCGAUGCAACGCGAAGAACCUUACCAAGGCUUGACAUGCUGGGUAAUCCGUGGAAACACGGUGAUCCUUCGGGAUCCAGCGCAGGUGGUGCAUGGCUGUCGU